rnacentral:rRNA from 1 species
AUUGAACGCUGGCGGCAGGCCUAACACAUGCAAGUCGAACGGCAACACGAUACAGCUUGCUGCUUAGCGGAGGCGAGUGGGGGGGGGGUGAGAUGUACAUCAAACUCUACUUUGUAGGGGGGUAACAAGUAGAAACGGUAACUAUAAUAGCGUAAAGUCCCAACGGGAAAAAGGAGGGGAUUUUGGCACCUUGCGAGAGUGUAUGAGCAGAUGUGGGAUUAGCUAGUUGGUGGGGUAAGGGCCCACCAAGGCGACGAUCCGUAGCUGGUCUGAGAGGAUGAUCAGCCACACUGGAACUGAGACACGGUCCAGACUCCUACGGGAGGCAGCAGUGGGGAAUAUUGCACAAUGGGCGCAAGCCUGAUGCAGCCAUGCCGCGUGUAUGAAGAAGGCCUUCGGGUUGUAAAGUACUUUUGGCGGGGAAGAGGAGAAGAAGGUUAAUACCUCUCUGUAUUGACGGUACCCGAAGAAGAAGCACCGGCUAACUCCGUG